rnacentral:rRNA from 1 species
UACGUAGGGGGCAAGCGUUGUCCGGAAUCAUUGGGCGUAAAGCGCGUGUAGGCGGCUCGAUUAGUCCGCUCUGAAAGCCCGGGGCUCAACCUCGAGAUGUCGGCGGAAACUGUCUGGCUAGAGUCCGGAAGAGGAGAGUGGAAUUCCUGGUGUAGCGGUGAAACGCGCAGAUAUCAGGAAGAACACCAAUGGCGAAGGCAGCUCUCUGGGACGGUACUGACGCUGAGACGCGAAAGCGUGGGGAGCGAACAGG